rnacentral:rRNA from 1 species
CGGACGGGUGAGUAAUGUAUGGGGAUCUGCCUGAUGGCGGGGGAUAACUACUGGAAACGGUAGCUAAUACCGCAUAAUGUCUGCGGACCAAAGCGGGGGGACCUCCGGGCCUCGCGCCAUCAGAUGAACCCAUAUGGGAUUAGCUUGUAGGUAAGGUAACGGCUUACCUAGGCGACGAUCCCUAGCUGGUCUGAGAGGAUGACCAGCCACACUGGAACUGAGACACGGUCCAG